CUGUCACCCAGGCUGGAGUGUGGUGGUGAGUGUGAGCCUCCACCUCCUGGGCUCAAAUAAUCCUCCCUCUCAGCCUCCCCAGUAGCUGGCACCACAGGCACAUGCCAUCAUGUGACUGCAUUUUAAUUCAUGUAAUUCCUCUUUCCCAAGUUCUCUAGUUUAUACCAUGUCCUUUCCUGAGGAACAUAAAUCACGUGUUAUUGUCUGCUUUUCAUCCUGAGAGGAAGGAGACAGUCACAUGGCCACCUGAUGCUUGAAGGGUUUGGUGAUCACCGGGUCCAGUGAAGAGCCUCGGGAUGAGUCAGUGUGGCUUUACCCAGGCGUGGAGGAGUACAUUUCUUGAUAGUGAUCAAGUCUCCUUAUUAAAUAGGAGUGCAGCUGAUUGGGGAUCUCCUCACAUUUGCUUUCUUUCAUGGCAAGUGCCCAAAUUCAUGCUGUACUCUCAGCAGCAAGGAGUGGGACCAUUACUCCUGGUGUUCCCAGAUGGAAUGGACACCAAGCCUGGCUUUGCCACUGAACACAAUACAGGACUAAUAAAGCAGAGUAUAGUCAGAAAGCUGAGUCAACUCAGAUUUCUCACCAUUGAGUCAAGUUGUGAAGCCUGCCCUCUUGGGAGUAGAGGAUUUUCAUACGGAAGCAUUAUGGAGUCUCGCUCUGUCACCCAGGUUGAAGUGCAGUGGCGCAAUCUUAGCUCACUGCAACAGAGGUCAAGAAGUCAAGAGCAGCUCUGCCGAGUGGUCGGUGUUCACACUCCAGGGACAAAGUCUGUGAGCCCCUGAGGUCCCCAGAACUGCUCUCACUUUUCCUUGCGGUGUCAACUCUGUCUUCAAAUCCUAAGAAAUCCAAUAUUUUUACAAUCAAUUCCUUUUGGGGGCUUAAGCUCCUCUGAAUCAGAUUUUGCUAUUUGUAACAAAAAAAUAAUACUAGUAAGUAGGGAGUCUUAACAGUACUAAGAUCAAAAGUGUAAAAGGGAGAGCAGGUGGGGCGUGGUGGCUCACGCCUGUAAUCCCAGCACUUUGGGAGGCCGAGGUAGGCACACCACUAGGUCAGGAGUUCAAGACCAGCCUGACCAACAUGUGAAACUCCUAUCUCUACU